CGGUGGUUCGGCGUGGAAGGGCCAUCGCUCAACGGAUAAAAGCUACCCUGGGGAUAACAGGCUUAGCUCCCCCAAGAGUCCACAUCGACGGGGAGGUUUGGCACCUCGAUGUCGGCUCAUCACAUCCGGGGGCUGUAGUAGGUCCCAAGGGUUGGGCUGUUCGCCCAUUAAAGUGGUACGCGAGCUGGGUUCAGAACGUCGUGGGACAGUUCGGUCCCUAUCCGUCGCAGGCGUAGGAAAUUUGAGAAGACCUGUCCUUAGUACGAGAGGACCGGGAUGGACGUACCUCUGGUGUACCAGUUGUCCUGCCAAGGGCAUGGCUGGGUAGCUAUGUACGGAAUGGAUAAGCGCUGAAAGCAUCUAAGCGCGAAGCCAACUUCAAGAUAAGAUUUCCCACCGCAAGGGUAAGACCCCAGAAAGACUAUCUGGUUGAUAGGUCGAAGGUGUAAGU
rnacentral:rRNA from 1 species